CCCGGCAUGGGCUGGGGCGGGUUUGUGGUGUUGUCAGCACUGCUGGUGCUGCUGUCGUUCGGCGUGGCACGGCGAGG
rnacentral:tRNA from 1 species